CACGUAGGAGGCGAGCGUUAUCCGGAUUUACUGGGUGUAAAGCGCGUGCAGGCGGUUGACUAAGUUGGGUGUGAAAGCUCCUGGCUUAACUGGGAGAGGUCGCUCAAGACUGGUCGACUGGAGAGCAGGAAGGGAAGGUGGAAUUCCGGGUGUAGUGGUGAAAUGCGUAGAUAUCCGGAGGAACACCAGUGGCGAAAGCGGCCUUCUGGACUGCAUCUGACGCUCAGACGCGAAAGCUAGGGGAG
rnacentral:rRNA from 1 species